CGGGACGCGUCUGUGGGUUCCGGGGGGCAUCUACGGGGCGUCCCCGAGAGGACUGGGGAUGUCCACCGGGCCUGGACUGAGACUGGAGCCUGCCCUCCAUCACAUAGCUGGCCUGGGUCAUAUCUGUAGACACUGUUGAUCGUCUUUCCGGGCUGACCCGAAGCUAGGGUCUGUUUAUAGGGUUCUGGGGCCAUCUUGAGAUCUUGAGAUAUGUCCCAGGGUGAAGGAGGUCUGCAAGAGCAGAGGAGUAUCUGCAGAGCCAUCUAUAGCGCCCGGGGUAUGUCUGUUAGGACUGGGAGUGUCUACAUGGGCUGCCUUGAGGAUGCGGCUCACCUACCUGGGUCUGGGGCCAUGUAGCGGGUCUGGAAGAACUGUUGGAGGGCUAGGAAGUCUUUUAGGGCCACCCAGGGGGGUGGGAUGUGCCCACCAAGGGAGGGAGGCAAAUACUGACGGGUGCUGAGAGGCCUGGAUGGGUCUCUAACGUCUGAGAGUGUCUAAUAUGGGUGACAGGAGGCUGGGGGGCACUUAGAAGGACCUGGAACCAUCUAGGUGGCUUUCAGUGUGACUGCAAGAGUACAGUCUUUAUGCCUGGAGCAAUUCGAAUGCCUUUUGGGGCUGGGUAAUCGCGUGGAGAACAAGACAAAGGAGAGUAUUGGAAAAUUUGCCCAGCUCAAAUGUACUUGCACUUUAUAAUGUAAUUUAAAUGAAAAAUGUUGCUAAAAAUUCUGCAUUGCCCUGGAGGUAUAGAGAGUUGGAAUUAGUCCACAUUAGUCUGGGGAAGUCUGUAGGAUCAUUGAGACUCAUUUAGUGCAAUGCUUUUCAGACUCUUUUGACCUUGAUCUACAGUAAGAAGUGCAUUUUUUGUGUUCAGAGCUAGGACAUACUGACAUGUGUAUUUAAUGCCAAAGUCCCAUUAAUUAAUAUUCCCACGUACUACUUGUGAUGCACCGUGAAGAAUUUUCAACUGUGUUCGAUUUACUUUUAUUUUUUUAUAACAAGCUAAUUGCAAAGCACUGUACUGCUCUCAGACUGUAGUUUGGGGAACACUGAUCUAGAGGGACCUAGCAAUGUCUGCAGAACCUUUUCAUGUCAAAAAGAUAUAAAGAACUGUGGAUGUGUCCGCAAAGCCUGGGGCAUGUCUAAAUGGGCAGGGGAGCAUCUGCAUACACCACGGAGGGCUUGGGGAUCUGUGUGCCUGUCCUCAGCAGGUCUUGACUAAAGCCCCUGUUAUGUGGCAGUCACUGUUCUGCGUAACAUGCGCUUUUCCCAGAGGUGCUGGAGAGCAGCUCCAGGGCUGGGAACUGCCCACAGGGGUUUAACAAGGCGGGACAUGUUAGUGGGAGUUAGUGAAGGAGCCACAGGCUCUUGUCUGGGAGGUUGCCUGUGGGAGCUUGGGCAGAGCUUGGAAUGCUGUGGUAGGAAGGAGACCAGGACCGAUGCAUUUGCUUGGCAGGUGUGCAGCUGGGAGAAUGGGGGAGGUAGAUGUGCGGUAAACCUGGGCCUUGAAGCUAAUUUUUGUUAUUUUGUAUUGAGCGCUUGGGCUGUGCUAACUCUGUAGCAGAAAGUCGCUUUGCUUUCAGUUCUUACCGCCCUUCUUGGAGGUAGAUACUCUUGUGGUGCCCGUCUACAGAGAAGCAUAAAGAGUCAGGGGUUUUAAAGCUUUCUGGGAACUCUGGAGACCGGAUAGUGUUUUCACAGUAGCAGAUUGGAUGGUUCUAAGGAAGCUUGCAGCUGGAGUACUCCUACUUUCUGAAGACCUAAUCGAGACACCCACCAGUCUGAAGGAUAAUCUUUCAACCUCCAAAUGAUCUGAGAAUUUCUGUGACCUCAUGAAGGCUUUAGCCAUGAUCUCCCACAAUGGGCAGAUUGGUAAUAGGUGGAUGUCCUCCGCAUGCCUUUCUGAAAGUAGUGUUUUCGGUCUGGUGUUGGUUUUGUACAUCACUCUUGUAGCUCCAUUUUUUGUGUAUAAACCAAUUUUUUCUUUUCUUUUUUUUUUUGGUCCCUCACCAUCGAGGAGAAUCGUUGCCGCUUUAGGGAGUUGCAUGGUAUCUGAGGUAUACUCAGUACACUGGCACGUAUCUCAGUUUGGGAGAGGAGAGUUUAGGGGACUGCGGGACACAGUAUUUGAAAUCACAACUCAACUGGGAAAAACAUCAGCCAACGUGGGGGCAGGCAGGGAGGUCUUAAAGCUUGGUUGUGGGGGAAGCUUUAAGUGGAGACUGGGGAGUGGAGUGUUGAAAUAGGAGGCCAGAAGGCCUCCCUGCAAGAAAGGAAGCAGUAGAAAUCUAGGCAAGGGAAGAGAGCCAUUCUGGUCUCUGCGACGUCUGCUCAGGGCCGGGGACUCGCCCCAGGACUGGCGUGUGGUGGUAGAGGGCAGAAGGAUGCUGAGGAGGAUGCUUGGUCAAAGCCGUGGCGGAGGCCCUGGAGAUCCUUGCGUCCAUCCUCUGCUUCCAGCCCCUCCCACCACCCCCCACCCCUGCCUCCACUCCAGACUCUCACCCCCUCAACCACCAGGUGACCAUGGAGGAAGAAGAUGAGUCUCGAGGGAAGACAGAGGAGUCGGGCGAGGAUCUGGGCGAUGGUCCGCCGGACAGAGACCCCACGCUUUCUCCUUCUGCCUUUAUCCUGGUAAGGCUGCUAGAUGUCUGGGGCCAAGGGAGGGACGGGCUGGAAAUGCAGAUGUCAGGGCCUAGCUCCUGGGCCCUGGGGGGAGGAGGGGCUGGGGGCCUGGACACUUGGCUCCUCUGAAGGGUUCGAGUUUCGUUAUAGGGGUGUCUGGAAUGGCUGUCUCCCAGGAGCAGAGCUUGUGACCAUUUGCACGGGUCCCCUGACUGCCCUUUCUUUCCACCCCCUCCACCCUCCACCUUUUCUCUAGCGGGCCAUUCAGCAGGCUGUGGGAAGUUCCCUGCAGGGGGAUCUGCCAAAUGAUAAAGGUACGAUGGGUUCUGGUUCCUCUUAGCCUCCGUCCCAUCUCUCCGUAUUCUUUAUCCUAAUUGCAUUCCUAAAAACUUUCUGAGGCCUCCCGGGUACCACCCUUGUGCUGGCUCGGGAGCCAAAGAUGGGUCGGACCCAUGGCUGACUUGGAGGGGCUCACGGUCUGGUGGAGGGGAGAUACAGUCACAGCGCAGAGGUGGCCCCGAGGCACUGGGAGAGCGCAGGAGGCCCAGUUAAGCUAGUGUGGAGGAGAUGGGGUCUGGGGAGGCUUCCUAGAGGGGCAGACCGGUGAAUUGGGUGUCCAAGGAUGUACUGAAGUUGUUGUCUGGUAAAGAGGAAAGCCUGGUAGGCAGAGGCACCCAGCAGGCACACAGCACAGGGGCGUGUUGCAGGACCGAGCUGUGGUUUUUUGGGGCUGGCAGGCCUGGGGUGUGAGCAGGAGGUGAGGCAGGAGAGCUCCAUGGGAACUGUGUCACCGCAAGGCUCUCGUGCCAGGCUGGCUUGUCUGGAAUCCAUCCUGAGGGCAGCUAGGAGGUCAGGUGGGUGAGAGCGCCUCAGAACGGCGCUGGGGAAGUCUUUCUGGGCCCCAAGGUGGGAGCUGAGGGGUGGAGGCAGGGAGAGCAGGCAGGAGUUUGGCUCCCUCCUCAAGAGCCCGAGCAGGCUCCUCUUUCCUCUGACUCCACAGAGUCUCUGUGUCUCGUCCCCUGUGUCCAAUCUCCCAUGCAAAUCUCUCUCCAGAUGGCUCCCGGUGUCACGGCCUUCGAUGGAGGGGCUGCCGGAGCCCACGGUCAGAGCCCCGUUCCCAGGAGUCAGGGGGGACCGACACGGCUACUGUGAGUAAGAGCAGGGGCCUGGGGGCCCAGACUCUUGGGGUUGGGGUGCUGAUCAGCUGCAGUGUUGGAGGGCUUGGGGGCAUCAUCCCUGGGGCCGGGCCCUUGGGUCCUGGGAGCAAGUCAGGAUGAGGGAAUUGGUUGGAUCUCUGCGUUUUCUCGGGUUCUCAGAUGCCUGGGUUCCUGAAGGUUUAGGGGCUGGGGAAGUGGGAUUUGUGGGCCCUCACGUGAGAGGGACGGGUUGGAACCCCUCCCGGCCUAUUCCAGGUGUUGGACAUGGCCGCAGACAGCUUCCUCGCGGGGCUGGUGAGCGUUCUGGAUCCCCCAGAUACCUGGGUUCCCAGCCACCUGGACCUUCGGCCUGGCGAGUGAGUAGUUGGGCAGCUGGAGUGGGAGAGGCCUUUAGCGGGGGAGCUGGCAGCUUCCUUCAGGCUCACUCACCCCCUUCUGCCCUGCAGAAGCGAGGACAUGCUGGAGCUGGUGGCCGAGGUCCGAAUCGGGGACAGGGAUCCCAUCCCUCUGCCGGUGCCUAGCCUGCUGCCCCGUCUCAGGGCCUGGAGGACAGGCAAAACGGGUAUGUGGGGCCAGGGCAGAGCUGAGCAGGCGGCCUCGGAGUCCUGCACGAGUCAGCUGUUGUUGGUAGUAACGGUAGCGAUCCUGUCACUUAGACAAAAUCUUUAAGCCUCUGCCCGUUAGACUGCAAGGCUUUAUGUACCUACAGACGUACCUACAGCAAACGCUGAUGUCCUGGCCGGCACGUGUGAGGCACUCCGUGUCCAGGGUGCUAUGUGGCAGUGUAACUGCACUGGGAAUUCGUCUCCCUGGGAUUGGGGGUGGGGUGGGGGGAGGCUCUUAGCAUCUCUGUCUUCCAGAGGAGACGAAUCUGAAAAAGGGAAGUCCCUUGUUUAAGGUGGCACAGCCAGUAGAUGAGUGGUGCUCCUGGGCCCUGAGCCUGUAGCCCAGGUCUCUUUGAGUGUUAAGCCCUGUGAGCGGCGUAGAGCUUCUCAGACUUGGGCGGGUAUCAGAGUCACGAGGAGGAGGACUUUGUCGAUACACGGGUCCCUGGGCCUACUCCUAGGAUCUCUGAUUCAGUGGGUCUGGGGUGGGGCCCGGGAAUUUGCAUUUCUAACCAGUUCCUCGGUGAGGUUUCCGGCCCCCAGGACCCCGGUGGGAAUCCCUGGUUUAGACUACCCCCCCUCCCCCCUUCAUGUGCAUCCACAGUUGGGAGGGAUGGAGAGGAGAGGUCGGCGCGGUCAGCCAGAAGUGACUGUUUCGCAGCCGACCGUGGCUCACACACGCUGUGCCCGUUUCGGUUUCCCUUGUCCUUUUUUUAUAGCUGCGAAAUGUCUUGUCCAUUCGGCUCAGGGGGCGUUGUACUCAGGGCCCACCACGCCCUUGGGGAACCCCCCAAAAGCUCUUCAUUUCUUUUAAAAUUAGAAGGCCUACAGGAUAAAUAAACAAAUGGACGUGGCAGUGUCCUAAUAAAACUUUAUUUACAAGAACAGAAGGCGUUGGGAAUUUGGUGCCAGGCCUUCGGUGAUAUAGUUGUUAUCUGGACUGUAAGAGCUGUUUGGUGGGAGAUGCUGGGGUUAGGUUUUAUUUUCUUACUAGAAGUGGUUUUCUUCAUUUGGAAGUUAUUAAGAACUUUAGGAAAAAAAUCUCAUCCCUGAUUCCAUAUCGUAUAAAGAUUACAUAAAGGAGGGGCCGUCUUGCGUUUCCAGACCGCUCUAGUCUGUGUUUUACACUUCCGGUGGGGGUAAUAAUUCAUAAGCAGGGUAGGAAUAGCUCGUGCUCACCGAGUCCUUGUGGGGCCGGGCGCAGUCUGGUUUGUUCCACACAGCUGCCCACCUAGUCCCCUCAUCCCUGCGAUGUGUGAAUGCUCUCAUCACCGUCCUCCCUGCUUUAUUUUCUUCCACAGCCCUCAGCAGUUGGCAGACUUUUCUGCGUGGCUCAUGGAGAUUUCUUGAAGGCAGGGACUUUUGUCUGUUGUGUUCACUGUUCUGUUCCUAGUACCUGAAACAGCUUGGCACAAGAUAGGCGAUCAGCAAAAAUGUACUGAAUGAAUGAGUGCAUGCCCAUUGUAUACAUGAAGAAACCAAGGCAGGCAGAGGUUGAGUUCCUUGUCCUUGGUCACGUCAUGGGUGAGGGCCAGAGCCUAGGAUUGGAUUGAGAGGUGGCUCUGGGACUGCCCUCUUUUAUUUUUUUAUUUUUUUUCAACAUUUAUUUAUUUUCGACAGACAGUAUGAGCUGGGGAGGAGCAGAGAGAGAGAGGGAGACACAGAAUCUAAGACAGGCUCCAGGCUCUGAGCUGUCAGCACAGACCCCGAGGCGGGGCUUGAACUCACAAACUGUGAGAUCAUGACCUGAGCUGAAGUCGGACGCUUAACCGACUGAGACACCCAGGGUGCCCCUGGCACUGCCCUCUUAAGCCCUUGCUGUCCUGCCACUGUCUACAUGACCAUGCUGGUGCCCUUGCCAUCUCAGGGUCCCUGUAGUAGGUGGUUGAGUGGGGCCUCUGGACCCCAGUGUGUGUGUCCGGAGGUGCAGCCCAGGUCCGUUGUCACCGUGUGUGGGACUGAUGGCAUGGAGACCGCGUCGUCCUCAGAAAGCAGGGUCUCAGGAGGACAGAUGAAGUUAGGCAGGAAAGCACGACGCCUGGCCCAUGUGGAGGGGCGAACACUGCUUGUUCCUGUCGCCCGUUGGCGGUGUCUUUGAGUCCUGAGCGGAUGUUGCCCCUCAGAUGGGGCUCGUCACAGAGUGAAGUGCGUGGGUUGUGGACUCCGGCUGUCAGGGCUCCCUGGCUCUGCCAUUUCCUGGGCUCUCGAGAGGGAGAUUCACCUUCUCAGCCGCCCACAGUUCCCUUCAGGAAACAGGAUAGAUUCCCACAAGAGGCAGCUGGAGCAGCGGUCUUAGGUUCAAAUCCCAGCGACCCUUCUCUAGCCUGUGUCUUCUGGUCAGGGGUCACUGGUCAGGGGGUUCUUGGGCUGCAGGCCAGUGUGUAUCUCAGGACAUGGGAGCACAGGCUCAGUGGCUUCAGUGGCUACAUUGGCUGUUUGCACCCCCCUUCUCCCUGCUGUGUGUCCUUGGGGAAGAUACUGCAGUGCUCUGUGCCUCAGUUUCCUCCUGAAAGGACGCAGUACCUCCAGCUUGGAGUCAUUAGGAGCAUCUGUGAGUUGUCCCGUGCAAAGUGCAGGGUGCCGCCAGAGUGGGGUGGUGGCCGGGGCACUGGCCUGCGGCCCCCUCUGCACGGCCCAGGGAGGAGGACCUGUGCCUGACUGGGGCUCUCUGUCUCCUUUCUUCCUUUACAGUGUCUCCGCAGUCUCACUCCUCACGACCCUCCUGUGCCCGUCACCUCCUUACCUUGGGCACUGGAGACGGGGGCCCUGCCCCACCCCCUGCCCCAUCCUCUGCGUCCUCCUCCCCCUCCCCUUCCCCCUCAUCCUCCUCCCCUUCGCCUCCCCCGCCUCCACCUCCUCCAGCCCCCCCAGCCCCACCUGCCCCCCGAUUCGACAUCUAUGACCCCUUCCACCCCACCGACGAGGCCUAUUCCCCACCACCUGCUCCGGAGCAGAAGUACGACCCCUUCGAGCCCACUGGCUCCAACCCCAGCUCAUCAGCGGGGACUCCUUCACCCGAGGAGGAGGAGGAGGAAGAGGAGGAAGAGGAGGAAGAGGAGGAAGAAGAGGAAGAAGAGGAGGAGGAAGGCUUGUCCCAGAGCAUCAGCCGCAUCUCCGAGACCCUGGCGGGCAUCUACGAUGACAACAGUCUGAGCCAGGACUUCCCAGGUGAUGAGAGCCCCCGCCCGGACCCCCAGCCCCCACAACCGACUCCGGCCCCUGGAACGCCUCCACAGGUGGACUCCACCCGGGUGGACGGAGCCACCCGCCGUCGCGUCUUCGUGGUGGGGACGGAGGCGGAGGCCUGUCGGGAAGGCAAGGUCUCUGUGGAGGUGGUGACGGCCGGCGGAGCCGCCGUCCCGCCAACCCUGCUGCCACCGGGAGACUCCGAGAUCGAGGAGGGCGAGAUCGUCCAGCCGGAGGAGGAGCCCAGGGUGGCAGUCUCCCUCUUCCG
rnacentral:lncRNA from 1 species